UACAGAGGGCCCGAGCGUUGUUCGGAUUCAUUGGGCGUAAAGGGUGCGUAGGCGGCGGGGCAAGUCUGAUGUGAAAUCCCGGGGCUCAACCCCGGAACUGCAUUGGAUACUGCCUUGCUAGAGUACUGGAGAGGGAACUGGAAUUUACGGUGUAGCAGUGAAAUGCGUAGAGAUCGUAAGGAAGGCCAGUGGCGAAGGCGAGUUCCUGGACAGUAACUGACGCUGAGGCACGAAGGCCAGGGGAGCAAACGGG
rnacentral:rRNA from 1 species